GGAGGAAAGUAGGGGAUCGAAAGACCUUAUGCUUUUGGAGCGGCCGAUGUCUGAUUAGCUAGUUGGUAAGGUAAAGGCUUACCAAGGCGACGAUCAGUAGUUGGUCUGAGAGGACGACCAGCCACACUGGGACUGAGACACGGCCCAGACUCCUACGGGAGGCAGCAGUGGGGAAUUUUGGACAAUGGGCGAAAGCCUGAUCCAGCAAUGCCGCGUGAGUGAAGAAGGCCUUCGGGUUGUAAAGCUCUUUCAGUCGAGAAGAAAAGAUUGUGACUAAUAAUCAUGAUUUAUGACGGUAUCGGCAGAAGAAGCACCGGCUAACUACGUGCCAGCAGCCGCGGUAAUACGUAGGGUGCAAGCGUUAAUCGGAAUUACUGGGCGUAAAGGGUGCGCAGGCGGCUCUGCAAGUCAGAUGUGAAAUCCCCGGGCUUAACCUGGGAACUGCGUUUGAAACUACAAGGCUAGA
rnacentral:rRNA from 1 species